CAGCAUCAUCUCAAGUAUUUGGUACCCAAUGCCCCUUGACACCAAAUUAUUUACGACUUCAUUUGAAUAGCUUGGCUAACCCAAUCCUUUGCUCUUACUGUCCUAUGAAGGGCUGCAGAUGAAUAAUUUAUGAAGGAACUCCCUUUUCUUUGUUACCUACUAACUUUCUACAAUCACUCAUUGCUCCACAUUCUCCAUUAUUCAGAAGAAGUAAUUCUUCCUAUAACUAAUCAUCGUCGACCGGAUCCACUGAUAUUAUGUCAGGCCGGCAUAUCUUUCUU
rnacentral:lncRNA from 1 species